CAGUCCUCCGGAGGUUUGAGGAGCUAAGCAGAUGAUUCUAAAGCACAGCAAAGUUGAGACACUAAAUGCUGGGCGUGGGUACGAGCAAUGCUGCCAUCAUUUCAAUUGCGGGCUGGGCCAAAUCUUUGUGCUCAGCAAAGACCUUUUCACCAGGGGCGUGAAUAGAGCAGGUCUUGUUUGAAUGGCUGUAUGGAUUUUGCAUGAAUCACCCCUGUCCAACGCUGGAGACACCCUUUCCAGAAGAUCCUGAUUCCAGUCUGCAUCCAUCAACCAGUUGCAAGGCUCUUGGAAGCAUCUCUGGGCUUUUGAGCGAUUUCACUCGACCAGAAAACCCAGUGGCUGGACUGAGGAGCAGUCAUGAGACGGAAGCCACGGCAGAUGGAAGCUGGACAUUGCUUUGAUCAGAUGCUCAAGUGACAGGGGACGAGAGCUACCACCUCCAACUUUCCACAAGCUCUUGCUUGCAGUGCCCAUGUCAGGGCUGAGAUGCUUGCUUAAGUCUAGCUCUGGAGCCGAAAUCACUCUUAUUUCUGCGUCCAGAGCGGGCCUGGGGAACCUUUUACCCGAGGCGAUGAGAGGAAGACACUGUGAGCCACCCUCUCCCCACUACAGGCUGUGUGACUACAGUGGAAGUCUGAAAGACUCACUUUAGAAACUUUGGCCGUGCCACUAAUUUGCUGAUAAAUGAUUGCCUACGAGCUGAGGUGGAGAUCCAGGAACCGAACUGCAGAAGUGAAGAUCCCUCUUUAUGCAGACGACGACCAUUGUACUGUGUGAAACAAGGCGUGUAAGUGUUCCCUGUACCAGGGAGUUUAUAAUUCAACGCCAGGAGGAAGCGUCAUGCACGCCUAGAACUGCAAUAGACAAGGUCUGUGCUACCCACAUAAGCCAUACAAGAUCAGAAUACAUCACAAACAUGAGGGUGACCUCUUGAUGGAAGUACUCAAGCCAAAUUUGGGGAACAGAGCCCCAGAUCUGAUGGGGGUAAUGAGUCAGAUAAUCUGGAGAUGUUCGGUGAGAGCCAGCCAGUGUUGAAACUGCCCACAUUAUUAUCAUGAUUUUAAUUAACUUUUGUUUAGACAAAGUCUCACUACGUAGCCCAGACUUGGUUAGCUUAUCAUCCUCUUGUCUCUGCCUCUCAGAUCCUGUGAUUCCAGGUGUGCACACUCUCCCCGGCUCCUUAUCAUCAUCUUUAAUGUUGCUCUUAUUAUUAGCUGGCUCAGAACAGUCAUUAGAGCAAGAGAUAAGAAUAAUUCAUUUAAGGAAUGAACAGGACUUUAAAAUUUGGUUAGGGUUUGUUGUUGUUGUUGUUUUGUUAUUAAUUUUAGAGUAGAGGUCUGAGAUAGGUUUUAGAAAUGCUUUCAAAAGUGUGGGUAUUGUUCCCAGGAGCUAAGACUUCCAUGGCUGACUAUUCCAUACAUAAUUUCUUCACCUACACAAAUAGUAAAGCUCUCAGCCAAAUAUUCUCUCUGGUCCUAGCACGUCAUGUCUCCCAUGGAAACAAUUCUUAUACCAGCAUUGAAGACAAUGUAGAAUCCAUGGAUGACUGUAUUCAUCACUCAUCUCUGUAUUUUAGAAAGACAAUUCCAUAGACAGCCUGUGUGAAAACAUCUUAGAUUCUGUUACUAUUUUUAUUUAGGUGUUCUUUUUUAUUUUACUCCCCCCACCCCUCAAGCCAGGGUUUCUCUGUUCGCCCUGGAUGUUUAAGAACUCCUUCUGUAGGUCAGGCUGGCUUUGAACUCGCAGAGAUAUGCUUGCUUCUACCUCCUGAAUGCUAGAGUCAAAGGUGUGUGCCACCACUACCACCUGGCUCUUUGCUAGUGUUUCUUCUAUUACGUUUCUUUCUUAAUCUUCUCUUCCACUUCUCAACUCACUACAUUGAGCCUCUGCUCUGCUCCUGUGUGAAUGGUGGACAAACACCAUUUGAGAUUCUAAAGGCCAGUGGGUGAAAGGUUAUGACUUACACAAGAAUUUAGGACACUACAUUAUGUCCCAUUUGCAGAUCCUGCCUCUAGUCUCUGGGAUAGAACAGAGAGAAGAUAACUCCACACAGUCCUUAGGGGACUCUUCAGUCUGUUGGACUUUCUGAGACAGUCUAAGUGAUCCAAGAGUUCUCAAACUCAUUAGGGCUGAGAGUGCAG
rnacentral:lncRNA from 1 species